rnacentral:rRNA from 1 species
GUGGGGAAUAUUGGACAAUGGGGGGAACCCUGAUCCAGCCAUGCCGCGUGUGUGAAGAAGGCCUUUUGGUUGUAAAGCACUUUAAGCGAGGAGGAGGCUACCGAGAUUAAUACUCUUGGAUAGUGGACGUUACUCGCAGAAUAAGCACCGGCUAACUCUGUGCCAGCAGCCGCGGUAAUACAGAGGGUGCAAGCGUUAAUCGGAUUUACUGGGCGUACAGCGCGCGUAGGUGGCCAAUUAAGUCAAAUGUGAAAUCCCCGAGCUUAACUUGGGAAUUGCAUUCGAUACUGGUUGGCUAGAGUAUGGGAGAGGAUGGUAGAAUUCCAGGUGUAGCGGUGAAAUGCGUAGAGAUCUGGAGGAAUACCGAUGGCGAAGGCAGCCAUCUGGCCUAAUACUGACACUGAGGUGCGAAAGCAUGGGGAGCAAACAGGAUUAGAAACCCUGGUAGUCC